rnacentral:rRNA from 1 species
GAUGAACGCUGGCGGCGUGCUUAACACAUGCAAGUCGAACGAUGAAGCCCAGCUUGCUGGGUGGAUUAGUGGCGAACGGGUGAGUAACACGUGAGUAACCUGCCCUUGACUCUGGGAUAAGCCUGGAAACUGGGUCUAAUACCGGAUACGACCAUUGCCCGCAUGGGUUGGUGGUGGAAAGCUUUUGUGGUUUUGGAUGGACUCGCGGCCUAUCAGCUUGUUGGUGAGGUAAUGGCUCACCAAGGCGACGACGGGUAGCCGGCCUGAGAGGGUGACCGGCCACACUGGGACUGAGACACGGCCCAGACUCCUACGGGAGGCAGCAGUGGGGAAUAUUGCACAAUGGGCGAAAGCCUGAUGCAGCGACGCCGCGUGAGGGAUGACGGCCUUCGGGUUGUAAACCUCUUUCAGUAGGGAAGAAGCGAGAGUGACGGUACCUGCAGAAGAAGCGCCGGCUAACUACGUG